UCUGAUUUAAUAUAAUUGUUACUGAUUUAAGAGACUAACUGAAACGUGAACGCAAACAUCAACAACCUGCGGUGGUGUAAUGUAAUAUUAACUGAGCAUCAUGCUGCUUAAACGUGAUAAAUAUUCUGCAUUGUCUUCCACACACACCAAUUCAACAGUCACAAGUUGAUCAUAUUGUAAAUUUAAUGACGCUCAUUGAGAAUUUGUACUAAAACCUGACAAAACCUGCGGUGAUUGUGACUGUGUCUGUAUUUAACACCUUUGAAAGGAAGGUGUUAAUGCAGGAGACCAGUGUUACACACAACAGACUGCUGUUAUGUUAGUUAGGAGGAGACAUAAAGAUCACGUUUUUCCCCACACAUGUUAAUAUGUUUUAAAUGUCAUGCAUUUAUUUUUUAUUUCGCUUCAAUAAUCAUUAACAAAGAGAAACACCAUGAUUAAACUACAGGCUCUUGUUGCCUUUUUAUAGCCAAAGAAAGCUGAACAUCCACAGCCUCUGCAUCCAAAAUAAUUUCAACAUUGACAUUUAUGUCGUCCUAUUUCCCUCUUUUCACCAACAUUAUAUUUUAAACUGGGGAUUUCCUUUUUCUCAGGUUGCGCUCCUCUCCAUAAUGCGCUGGUCUCCUCCCUCUAAAGCCCGCUGCUGCUGCUCUGUAGGAUGCUUGGAUUGGGGCACCUCACCAAUAAAAUACUAUUUUAUAUUUUAUAAGCAGUUUGCCACCACACUGUACUUUUACUCUCCAAAGACAUAUGAGUAUGUGCGUGACAACUUUAACAAAUCUUUACCACACAGUCACACCAUCCACACAGCUGAUCCAGGAUUUACUGUAGCAUCUUUUAUAGCACUAAGAGGUCAUGUACAGGCAAACAGAGAGAAGGGAAAAGAAACAAUCUGUGCUCUCAAAUAACAAAGCAGUCUCAAAUCUUUUGAGGAAUUAUAGCUAAAAAAAAUUCUACUUUGCAUACAGUACAUCCUCUGAUAAAUAAAGUGAAGUACUUUGAUUGCAUUUCUGUGGUGUUCCUGUAGGUGACCAUGAUGCAGCCAGACUGAAGCAGCAGGUUGUGAAGGUGGACGCCAUCAUCUUGUCUUUGCAGCGUUGAUUCUGAAGAGAACGCCUUCACAUAGGACUCAAAGGAAAUCAAUGCUUAAAGGAAACAGCAGUCCAGACUCUGAUUCCAGCUCCGAAGAUGCCCUCAGAUUCAGAUCCAUCAACAACCCCUGACAACAUGGAGGACUCGUCCCCUGAGCGUUUCCUGUCCUCUCUCCAUGGAGUUCUUCUCUUCAGUUAUUAACUCUUGAAAACAGCAGCACAAAAUGCCAGACUGUUUGACAAGUCUGUGAUUGAAUAAAUUGAAAUGGAAUCUCA